UGAGGGCCCAAAGUUCCCUGCAUGCCGCUCUGGAAAAUCCUGGGACUGCCAAGAGGCUUAGGGAGGAACCUUGACUCCGGACUGGGAAACGCUCAAAAGUGGGAGUCCAGCCAAGCUGAGGCCCCUGAAGAAGACCAGGGAGCAGAGUGGCAUGAACUCCUUCCUCUGAUGAAUCAGCAGUGAUGUGGGCGACAAGGAAUCUGAAGCCAUGACCCCAGCCAGAGGCAGCAUCAGCCAAGUCUGACAGGCUUUAAUUAUUUUAGGAAUCUGAGUGCAUACUAAGAUAUUCCCCAAAGGAAUGGGUCAAGAUCACACCCUACCAAAAGCAAACAAAAUAAGCAAAAAACUCUGGCACAAAUAAGAUGUUUAAAAGUUAUCAGAAGCAUCUGUUCAGUAUGUUUCGAAAGCCAACUUGCUUAGUUCUGUGAAGCAAUGUCUGGGUUGGUGCCUAUGGAAAACAGAA